rnacentral:rRNA from 1 species
UAAGGAAUAUUGGUCAAUGGGCGGAAGCCUGAACCAGCCAUGCCGCGUGCAGGAUGACUGCCCUAUGGGUUGUAAACUGCUUUUGUCCAGGAAUAAACCUAAAUACGUGUAUUUAGCUGAAUGUACUGGAAGAAUAAGGAUCGGCUAACUCCGUGCCAGCAGCCGCGGUAAUACGGAGGAUCCGAGCGUUAUCCGGAUUUAUUGGGUUUAAAGGGUGCGUAGGCGGCCUAUUAAGUCAGGGGUGAAAUACGGUGGCUCAACCAUCGCAGUGCCUUUGAUACUGAUGGGCUUGAAUCCAUUUGAAGUGGGCGGAAUAAGACAAGUAGCGGUGAAAUGCAUAGAUAUGUCUUAGAACUCCGAUUGCGAAGGCAGCUCACUAAGCUGGUAUUGACGCUGAUGCACGAAAGCGUGGGGAUCGAACA